rnacentral:lncRNA from 1 species
CCUACAGUUCCUCAUUGUUCACUUGCCAGCCUUAUUGGCCUCUGCCUGAGAGGCAAGAUUCAGAAAAAUGUGGUGGAAAGGAUCAAAUUGGACAUAGUUAUUGCAGAGGGUAAACACAGCACAGAAGAAGAGAUCAAUAAACAAAUCAACGAUAAGGAAAGAGUCGCCGCCGCCUUAUAGAGAAUCCCAACUUAAAAGAAAUGUUCGAUAGUUGCAUAAAAGAUGAAGAAUAAGAAUUUUGUUGAGAAGAAAACAAAUAAAAGACGAUAAAUUUC